rnacentral:rRNA from 1 species
AUACGUAGGUGGCAAGCGUUGUCCGGAUUUACUGGGUGUAAAGGGUGCGUAGGCGGGUUAUCAAGUUGGAUGUGAAAUCUCCGUGCUUAACGCGGAGGCUGCAUUCAAAACUGGUAAUCUUGAGUGAGGUAGAGGCAGGCGGAAUUCCCGGUGUAGCGGUGAAAUGCGUAGAGAUCGGGAGGAACACCAGUGGCGAAGGCGGCCUGCUGGGCCUUAACUGACGCUGAUGCACGAAAGCAUGGGUAGCAAACAGGAUUAGAUACCCUGGUAGUCCAUGCCGUAAACGAUGAUUGCUAGGUGUGGGUGGACUGACCCCAUCCGUGCCGGAGUUAACACAAUAAGCAAUCCACCUGGGGAGUACGGCCGCAAGGUUGAA